rnacentral:tmRNA from 1 species
GGGGGCGACCUGGCUUCGACGCCGAUUGCGAAACCCGAGGUGCAUGCCGAGGUGCAGAUUUCCUCGUAAAACCAGCUGCAAAACCUAUAGUUGCCAACGACGACAACUACGCACUAGCAGCUUAAACUCCUGCGAAUGCCCUCGGCCUGAUGUGUGCUUAUGCGCUCAGUAAACCGGGGUCGACUCACAUAAGAUCGCGCUGAAACCUGUCCGGAGUGGAUGCGUUAAAACCUAACGGAAUCGCUAUUAGUGCGCCCUGCCCAUCGGGUUGCUGGUAGUUAAACUUAAUAGAUGUGGAUAAGCAUGUAGAGCCAAAGGCAGAGGAUUGACGGACGCGGGUUCGAUUCCCGCCGCCUCCACCA